UACGUAGGGAGCAAGCGUUGUCCGGAUUUAUUGGGCGUAAAGGGCGCGUAGGCGGUGUGGUAAGUCUGAUGUGAAAACUCCAGGCUCAACUUGGAGAUUGCAUCAGAAACUGCCGUGCUAGAGUGUGGGAGAGGAGAGUGGAAUUCCUGGUGUAGCGGUGAAAUGCGUAGAUAUCAGGAGGAACACCGGUGGCGAAGGCGGCUCUCUGGACCACAACUGACGCUGAGGCGCGAAAGCUAGGGGAGCAAACAGG
rnacentral:rRNA from 1 species